rnacentral:lncRNA from 1 species
AAAGUCUUUAAUGUCAACUCUGGAAGUUCAGACAAGCUUAAUUCCUUUAACUGAGAGAACGCUGAUGUAUCUAUUUCAUUGUGGAAGAGUCCUUCAGACCGGACUAAUUCAGAAAUGGAAGCAUUGUUUAUAACAAGCUUCUGAAGGUUUGGUAGUGAGCGAAUGAAGGAAUAUGGAAGAGUAGUGGAUGUCUCAGGAAAGAAUUGGAGGUUAAGAAGUUCGAGGUUUGGGAAACACAAUGAGAGUUGUCCAUCACAUAUCCCCUUCAUCAUAUCACUCGUCGUCAGUGUUAAAUCUUGUAAAACAGGGAAAGUGUCCUGGACACCAACAAAUAUAUUAAACAUGGAUUAAAGAGUUUUAAAUUUAAGUAAGAGAGAAGGUGAGAAUAUUAGUUAGUUAAAAAGGCAAUUUAUAGGUAAUCUCAUUUGAUUGGAUAUAAUCUCGAGUAAUGAACAUGGAAUAUCAACUAUCAGUGAGCAUACCUCAUUGACGCAAAACAAGGGUUGUUGGUUUGAGAUUUGAACCUCACCAAAUAUCUGUGCUUUGGGGCAUUCAAUAACGUCCAUUUGUUUCAAGGAUGGCCAUUGGCUGGUAUGCAUCCUAGAGAAGAAACUUUUCAAUCUCGGCAACUUGGUCGUCACUGUUUCUGCCAUAGUAGACCGAGUAGCUGAUGUUGACUGUGACUCAUUAGCAAUGAGUCCUUGCAGCUCAAUUAUUUCUUCUAACGAAUCACAAUUCUGAAUCCGCAACUUCUCCAGACGAGGGAAAACAACCUAAUAAACCAUUUGAUAGGGUUAAUAACUGAAAAAUGUUGAAAUGAAAAAAAUUAAUGAAAGAAGUAAAAGGAGAAGACUGGUAAAGUAAAAGAAGAAGAAAUGACCUUUUCAUUGAGGACAGCAGAGUCAUUUGUUUGUGUAGGUUGGUGAAUUUGAGGUUCAUCUCCACAUACAGAUUUAGAGAUGAAAGUUUUCAGCAGAGGACAUUUUUUUAGCGUUAGCUCUUUUAAGCAUGGGAAUUCAGAGUAAUUUUGAAAGCAGAAAUUUGUGAGUUUGGGAAGGUCUCCCAGUGACAGCAACUCUAGUUUAGAGAAAAUCGUAUGAUUCCUCCAUUGAUCUUCUGCACCCAAUCCAUCCGUGAAGAUUACUUGUUCCAUCACAUUACAGUCUUUAAUUUCAAGACGUUGGAGCAUGACAAGAUCUUUUAGUAAGAAAGACGGAAACAGGUACUUCAAAUUGUGACACCCUUCCACCUGUAAGUGUUUGAGAGAUGAGGAAGAUGGGUGGUGCCAUAUCUCAUGAAUGUUAAUGGAGGACAAAGUCAGAUACUCCAAAUUGGGAAUGACAACCUGCAGACAUAUAUAAAUGUCAUAAUAAGAUAACAUAACUCUUCCUUCUUUACAUACAAAUACAAAUUCAAUCAAAAUGAGAAGAAGAAAUGAUAAAUUGUAGAGAAAAUUGAAACAUGGACUGAGUUAAGUGAUAAAAUGUAGAGCUGCAUAAAUCUAACAUCAUUCAACCGCCUUUCUUUUUCUAUCCUUAAAUUACACUUUCAUUAUCAUUUACAUUAUUUAUUUUUCAUUUACGCUUUUAUUUUAUUUCACUAAUUUAUUAAAAUUAAAACAAGUGGUUAAGUGUAAUGGUAAGGAACGUUUGCACUCCCAAAAGGAGGAACUAUGUUUGAACUUUAGAGAUGACAUUAUUAAGAAGGUAGCCAUGAAUCCGAAACAUAAACCAAAAAACGGAUAUAAAAAUUACCAAAAUAAAAAAUUACUAGCUUCUCUAAUGUUAAGUGAUUUUACCUAUUUAAUUAUUUUUUAAAUAAUAUAUUUUGAAUUAUUGUAAUUACUGUAAAAUAAUAUUCAUUAUCCAAGCUAUUGAAUAUAAUUAAAAUAUUUAAUAAUAUAAAUGAUAUUAUAAUAAAUUUUCAAAUCACAAUUAAAAUAUUUUUAUUAUAUUCAAUGUUUUACUUCAAAGCAGCAUAAUUCAGAAUAAUAACACAUAUCAUUCACGUUUAAUAAAAAAAAUUUCCUAAUCGCCAUUAAAGCAUUCGUACAAAUUAUAAAGUAUUGAUGUAUUAUAAAUUAACUUGACAGUAAGUGUAUAUUUAAGAUGACUAAAAAGGCAUGGAAAAGGGCCGUGAAAAGAUUUUGUUUGAUAUUCUUCAUACUCAACAACCUUAUUCAUUUCUAUCUUUUAUGCUAUCAAUUCCCCCACUAUUUAUCUAAUACAUUCUCAUCAUAUAUGGAUUCUCAUCAAUUCAUCAAAUAGAAGGAGAGAAGAUAUGAAUUAUUUAGUGCACAUAAAUAUUGAAUAUCAAACUCACCUUGUGGCAGAAUAAAGUUGUAGUGUUAUCUCCCACGCCUUGCUCGCCAAUCACUUUUUCACUCUCUCUUGAAAUUGAAGAAGAAAAUGCCGUCAUUUUUGGACACCCAACUAUCGCAAUAUGACUUAACUUUGGAAAUUCAAGAGCUCGACUUCCCAAAUAAAAAUUUGUCAAGUUGAAACACGCCUUUAUUUCUACAGAGUAGAGCUCAGGAAAUGUGAACUCAUGUGCUGUUGCUUCCUCCUCGUCUUCCCUAAUCACUUGUUCCAUUGUAUUGCAUUCUUUUACUUCUAUCCGCCUUAGUAGCUUGAGGCUCAAAAGCAUAGACGAGGUAAAAAUGUACUUCAAAUUGUGACACCCUUCCACCCAUAAGUGUUUGAGAGAUGAGGAAGAUGGGUGGUGCCAUAUCUCAUGAAUGUUAAUGGAGGACAAAGUCAGAUACUCCAAAUUGGGAAUGACAACCUGCAGACAUAUAUAAAUGUCAUAAUAAGAUAACAUAACUCUUCCUUCUUUACAUACAAAUACAAAUUCAAUCAAAAUGAGAAGAAGAAAUGAUAAAUUGUAGAGAAAAUUGAAACAUGGACUGAGUUAAGUGAUAAAAUGUAGAGCUGCAUAAAUCUAACAUCAUUCAACCGCCUUUCUUUUUCUAUCCUUAAAUUACACUUUCAUUAUCAUUUACAUUAUUUAUUUUUCAUUUACACUUUUUUUUUUCACUAAUUAAUUAACAGAAAAAUCAGCAAUUUUCACUUCUUCAUUCAUUCUUUAAUUAUGGUUUGAAGGUUUUUUUUAUUGCUGUAAAAUAAUUAAUAUAUUUUAAUUAUGUUUAAUAAUUUUAAUAAUAUUACUUUAUAUUAAUUACAUGAAAUAAAAAUACACUAUAUUUGUCACAUAUUUAUUUAUUAAAAGGCUUAAUAAGACAUUUGAUAUCUGAACUUGACACUUUUUCUUAAUUUAGUAUCUAAGUUUUUUUUUUAUGUCUAAUUUGAUAUCUAAACUUGUUAAACAUUAUACAAAUUACUCCAUUAUACUAAUCGUGUUAUUCCUCAAUAUGAUACUUAUGUUUUUUCUUUCUAUUCUUAUAAUCAAUCAACCAGUUUACCUCGAAACCGUUACGAAAAAUGAUGUGGCACUAAAAGACCAAUUCGCCAUUAACCUGUGGCAUUUCUUAUAAGAGUCUCACACCCAAUAACAAUUUGACACAUGGUAACAUUAUAAAAAUAUAUUUUUAAAUUUUUAAAAAUAAUAUUUUUUAAAUUCAUUAAUAUUUGAAAAAUAAAAAUAUAAUAUAUAUUUUUUGAAAAAUAGAAUUAAUUUUUUUGUUAAAUUAAAGUUAAUUAACAUUUUUUUAAUUAGGUCCUAAAGUAUCAAGUUUAGGUAUUAAAUUAGAAAAAGAAAGAGUCAAAUUUAGGUACCAAAUGUUAUAUUAAACUUAUUUAAAAAAUAUAAUUAUUUAUUUUACAAUUUAUUAAAAUUAAAACAAGUGGUUAAGUGUAAUGGUAAGGUACGUUGCACUCCCAAAAGAAGGAACUAGGUUUGAACUUUAGAGAUGACAUUAUUAAGAAGGUAGCCAUGAAUCCGGAACAUAAACCAUAAAACGGAUAUAAAAAUUACCAAAAAAAAAAUUACUAGCUUCUCUAAUGUUAAGUGAUUUUACCUAUUUAACAAUUUUUUAAAUAAUAUAUUUUGAAUUAUUGUAAUUACUGUAAAAUAAUAUUCAUUAUCCAAGCUAUUGAAUAUAAUUAAAAUAUUUAAUAAUAUAAAUGAUAUUAUAAUAAAUUUUCAAAUCACAAUUAAAAUAUUUUUAUUAUAUUCAAUGUUUUACUUCCUAUAAUUAAUAUAAAGCAACAUAAUUCAGAAUAAUAACACAUAUCAUUCACGUUUAAUAAAAAAAAUUUCCUAAUCGCCAUUAAAGCAUUCGUACAAAUUAUAAAGUAUUGAUGUAUUAUAAAUUAACUUGACAGUAAGUGUAUAUUUAAGAUGACUAAAAAGGCAUGGAAAAGGGCCGUGAAAAGAUUUUGUUUGAUAUUCUUCAUACUCAACAACCUUAUUCAUUUCUAUCUUUUAUGCUAUCAAUUCCCCCACUAUUUAUCUAAUACAUUCUCAUCAUAUAUGGAUUCUCAUCAAUUCAUCAAAUAGAAGGAGAGAAGAUAUGAAUUAUUUAGUGCACAUAAAUAUUGAAUAUCAAACUCACCUUGUCGCAGAAUAAAGUUGUAGUGUUAUCUCCCACGCCUUGCUCGCCAAUCACUUUUUCACUCUCUCUUGAAAUUGAAGAAGAAAAUGCCGUCAUUUUUGGACACCCAGCUAUCUCAAUAUCACUUAACUUUGGAAAUUCAAGAGCUCGACUUCCCAAAUAAAAAUUUGUCAAGUUGAAACACGCCUUUAUUUCUACAGAGGAGAGCUCAGGAAAUGUGAACUCAUGUGUUGUUGCUUCCUCCUCGUCUUCCCUAAUCACUUGUUCCAUUGUAUUGCAUUCUUUUACUUCUAUCCGCCUUAGUAGCUUGAGGCUCAAAAGCAUAGACGAGGUAAAAAUGUACUUCAAGCUGCUACAUUUAUAAAACUUUAUUUUGCCAAGGAAUGUCAAUUCCAAAACUGCUCGAGGGCUUUUUUUCCAUAUUUCUAUCAACUCGGGAAACGUGUCAGAGAUGGUCAAAACAUCUAGGUCAAGGCAUCCAACCUAAAACAACAAAUUCCUCCAUAUUAGUACAUUCAUAAUUCAAAAAUAAACACUCUUUGUUAGUUAUUCAACAAUGAAAGAAUAGGAAAGAAAAUCGAGCACUAACAUUCAUUGUAUCAGGACAAGGAAGCUAGAUAGCAUUAUGAAUUAACUCCGUACCUUUUGCAUGUACAACUGUUGUAUGGUGGUAUUCAAGUCACCUGCCCAACACCUAUUCAUGUAGAGACUACUCUUUUUUACACUUUGUAAUUGUGGGGUGCUUAAAACUCCCUCAGAAAAGAUCUUCAAUUUAGGACACCCUUCCACAACUACUUCUUCCAAACAAAGAAAGUUGAAGGUGUAACUUCCAGGACAAAAGCUUGUGAGGCUCUCUAAAUUGCUUAGUUGUAAACAUUUCAAGUUACGAACCACAAUCGUUUGAUGGUAGUCUCCCUCGUUUGCCACUAUUUCUGUCAUUUUAGUGCAGUUGCUUACCUCCAUUGUUGUUAAUUGCACAAGACUCUCAACUAUUAAGGGUGUAGCUAAGUUUGCCAUCAUUGCGCAAUUUGACACCUUUAAAGUUGUGAGAUUUUUAAAAGAUAAUGAUGAGGCUCCAAGAUUUAUCAAAUCAUCACAAUUCUUAAUUGUGAGUGUCUGGAGGUUAGAAAGAAUAUGGCCAAGCUCCGAAUCUUUCUUCCAUAUAUGCUUAAGAUUUUUGGAAGAAGUCAAUUGCAGAUUUUUUAUUGGUGAGGGAGUCCCAACAUCUCCCUCACAAGGGACUACAUGUUUGAAAUCAAAAUUAUCAAACUCGAGACUUUUCAGAUUGUAGAAUCUUCGGAGGAAAAAGAAUAUAAAAGGAGAUCCACCAUGAUGCCCUUUAAGAACUUUAAUGUGGGGAAACAAGUUCGGUGGAAACUGGCCCACAUCACCAACAAGAUCUCGUAACCGAAGUUGUUCUAGAUUGGGAAUGAUCUAGGAAACCAGUUAAACAUAAACAAAUCAAGCUCAAUGUUUGAGUAAUAGGAUUUUAUUUAAAAUUUUUAAGAAAACAGAACACCUUAUGAAUGAAAACUGAUAAAAAACACACACACACAACUUGAAAGUCGAUUGAAGAAUAACAAGUUUGAAUAAAAAAGGAUAAGCAAUCAUUGUUUCUGAUUUUAAAAAAAUAGGAAGAAUAAUGUAACUUAAAAAUAUAAUAAUUCAUGACAGUUGUACUUCCUUAAUUGCUUUCAAAACAAUAACCUCUUCUCUAACCCACUUUCCAUCUUACAUUUUUCUAUGGUUAAAUGCUUAGAUUAGAGUCCAAUUUUUUAGGGUUGCUCAUAGGCCUAACAUUUAUAAAAAUAUUCAAAUAAGAAAUUUUGAUGCAUUUCAACCUAAUUUGAGUUAAAAAAAAAAAGAUAAACUUUAACAUAUUUAGAAUAAAAUACAUGAUAGUCAAAUCAAAUAUUGCUUGAAAAUAAUAAAAAUAUAAUUUGAGACUUAAUAUACACUAUUUGAAAAGCCUUUAUUUGAGCACUUCACAAAACAGUUUGAUUCUUAUUUAAGCACUUUCAAAACAUUUUGGUCCUUAUUUGAGCAGCUUUCAUUUAAACAUUUUUAUGGCUAUCAAACCAAUGUAAGAUUCAGUUAAUUAAAUUGCAUUAUUAUGUCAUAUAACAUAACAUGCGGUUUAGAUGAUGAAAACAAAAAUAUUUGGAAUGAUAUACGUACCUGUUCAGUCAACAUUGCUGCCUCCCCAUUUCCCUUUCUUUCUUGCAUUAAUCUAACAUCUUCUAAGGCCACUAUCAUUAGCAAAGCAGAACUAUUUGUGCUCAAUGUUUUCAACAUGGGCCACAGGAUUGUAUGUUGCCCUUUAUAGGGACAUUUGAGCUCUUUUAAGUCUUCAACCACAAGUGAAGACACUUUGGGAAACUCAAACCUCAUAGGCUGCUCCUCUACUCCUUCCCCUUCUGAUACAAUCUCCUCCACCCCACAUUUUAUUAUGCUUAAAUCUUCAAGUUGUAGAAGAUGUUUGACUAUUGACGCUGGAAAUAGAAUUUUCAAACUCUCACACCCUGAAACACUUAAUUUUCGUAGAUUUUGAAAAGAAUCUGAUGGUAGGUCAUUUUGAAAUAUCAUCUUCACAUUACUCAACUGGAAGAUCGUCAUGGUUUCCAAGCUAGGAACAACAACCUAUUCAUAUAUAUAUAUAUAUAUAUGUAUAUAAUGCCCAUUUUAAAGUUAGCUCAUAUAUCGCAAGCAAAAAAACAAUAAAGGACAAAUCAAUUGAAUUAUACAAGUGUAAGACUAAUGAAAUAAAUCACCUUCUCAUUGAAGAGAGCCUGCAUGCCGGACUGAUUACUUAGUAUAUAUAUAUAUGUAUAUAAUGCCCAUUUUAAAGUUAGCUCAUAUAUAUAUAUAUAUAUGGAUUAUCACCAUUUAUAUACUCAUCAAUUCAUCUAAUAGAAAGCAAGAAGAUGUGAAUUAUUUAGUGCACAUAAAUAUUGAAUAUCAAACUCACCUUGUCGCAGAAUAAAGUUGUAGUGUUAUCUCCCACGCCUUGCUCGCCAAUCACUUUUUCACUCUCUCUUGAAAUAAAUGCCGUCAUUUUUGGACACCCAGCUAUCGCAAUAUCACUUAACUUUGGAAAUUCAAGAGCUCGACUUCCCAAAUAAAAAUUUGUCAAGUUGGAACACGCCUUUAUUUCUACAGAGGAGAGCUUAGGAAAUGUGAACUCAUGUGUUGUUGCUUCCUCCUCGUCUUCCCUAAUCACUUGUUCCAUUGUAUCGCAUUCUUGUACGUUUAUCCUUUCCAAUUGCUUGAGGCUCAAAAGCAUAGACAAGGUAAAAAUGUAUUUCAAGCUGCUACAUUGAUAAAAUUUCAUUUGGCUAAGGUUCUUCAACUCCAAAAUUGCUCGAGGGUUUUUCUUCCAUAUUUCUAUCGACUCGGGAAACUUGUUAGAGAUGGUCAAAUGAUCAAUUCGGCCAUAUAAUUGUCCCUAAAACAACAAAUUCAUCCAUAUUAUUACAUUCAUAAUUCAAAAAUAAACACUCAUUGUUAGUUAUUCAACAAUGAAAGAAUAGGAAAGAAAAUCGAGCACUAACAUUCACUGUAUCAGGACAAGGAAGUUAGAUAGCAUUAUGAAUUAACUCCGUACCUCUUCCAUGUACAACUGUUGUAUGGUGGUAUUCAAGUCACCUGCCCAACACCCUUUCUUAUCGAAACUAUUCGGUUUUACACUUUGUAAUUGUGGGGUGUUUAAAACUCCCUCAGAAAAGAUCUUCAAUUUAGGACAUACUUCCACAACUACUUCUUCCAAAUAAGGGAAGUUGAAGGUGUAACUCCCUCGACAAAAGCUUGUGAGCCUUCGUAGAUAGCUUAGUUUCAAGCAUUUCAAUUUACCAACAACUAUUGUUUGACGGUAGUCUCCCUCGUGUGCCACUAUUUCUGUCAUUUUAGUGCAGCUGCUUACCUCCAUUGUUGUUAAUUGCACAAGACUCUCAACUAUUAAGGGUGUAGCUAAGUUUGUCAUCAUUGGGCAAUAUGACACCUUUAAAGUUGUGAGAUUUUUAAAAGAUAAUGAGGAGGCUCCAAUAUUGAUCAAAUCAUCACAAAACAUAACUGUGAGUGUUUGGAGAUUAGAAAGAAUAUGGCCAAGCUCUGAAUCUUUCCUCCACAUACGCUGCAGAUUUCUGAGAUGAGACAAAUUCAAUUUUUUUAUUCGUGACGGAGUCCCAACGUCUCCCUUACAAGGGAGUCCAUCUCUGAAACUAAAAAGCUCAAGAUCAAGACUUUCCAGAUUGCAGAUUUUUCUCAGGAAAGGAAAUAUAGGAAAUCCAUCCCCGAAGCCACCAUUCACUUUAAGAACUUUAACGUGGUGAAACAAGUUCAGUGGAAACUGGCCUUCAUCACUAAGACGUCGUAACUCAAGUUGUUCUAAAUUGGGAAUGACCUAGGAAACCAAUUAAACAUUAACAGAUGAAGCUCAAUGUUGAUGUACAUGCUUAAAUAAAACCAAUGUACAGGAAUAGGAUUUUUUUUAUUUUAAGAAAUCAGAAUAGCUUAUAAAUGAAAAAUGAUUAAAAAAAAAAAACACAACUUGAAAAUAAAAAAGACAAGAAAUCAUUGUUUCUGAUUAAAACAAAAGGUUUUAAAACGCUAAUAUAAUAAUACAUGACACUUGUACUUCCUUAAUUGCUUUCAACACAAUAAGCUCUUCUCUGACUCACUUUCUUUCCAUCUUACAUCCUUUUAAGAGGUAUAAAAAUCUUCAAAUAAAGUCUUUACACGUAUGAGUAAAAAAUAAAUGAAUUUUAACGUAUUUAGAAUAAAAUAUAUAUGAGAAUUGAAUCAAAUAUUACUUGAAAAUAAAAAAUAAAAAAUAAAAAUAUAGUUUGAAACCUAAUAUACAACAUUUGAGAAAUCCUUAUUUGAGCACUUUUAAAAAGGUUCUUAUUUGCGUACUUUCAAAACAUUUUGGUCCUUAUUUGACCAUUUUAAAAGAUUUGAUUCUUAUGUGAGUAACCCUUUAUUUGAAAAUUUAACCUUUUUUAUCCUUGUUCGGGUGUUUCUUUCUAUUUUUUUCCAAAAAAAAAAAAAAAGGUAAACUACACUUAUGGUCAAUCUAAAGUAAGAUCUAUCUUAUUUUGAUCACUCUAAUUUUUUUUUUCUCAAUUUAACCACUCUAAAUAAGAUAAUUGUACGAAUUAAUCACUGAUGUUAAAAUUUUCAUUUUAUUUUAGUAGAUUGUUGGUGUAGCAUAUCAGUCCAUUGAACGAUUGACAUGUGGCUUUUUUUUGGCUUUUAACUAAAGAGUUAAUGGGGGGAAAGUUUUGGACUAAUUAUAGGAAUGUCCUAUUUUUUUAUGUACUUUUUGAGAUUUUUUUUAUAUUUUUUAAUUUAUAUAACUAUUUAUUUAUAUAUACAUAUUAAUUUUUAGGUUCAAGACUAAAUUGAUAGAAUAUGUAAAUAUUGGUUGUUAAAAUUAUCAAAAUGUUAGAAUCAAGACUAUUUAUCACUCAUUAACAUUAAAUAAGAGUGUGAUUGAUAAACCAUUAAAAAAUUUCAUUUCAUUGAAAAUGACAAUUUUCAACAUUUAAUUUUUUUAAUUGUGUUUGAGAACCAUAUCACCAUUUUACUUAAUAUAAAAAUUUUAACAAAAAAAAUGUUAGAACAUAAUAAGUAGAUAACUAUUUAUCACUUAAUGUGAAAAAUAGUAAGUUGAUUUUACUUUUGAAAUAAAUUAUUUCCUUUUUUUUUUUUUGAAAAAUAAAAAAACAACUUUUUAUUUAAAGAUAAUAUGAAAGUAUAAAAAGAUAAAUAUUAUCAUAAUAAUAUUAAUUAUAAUUUAAAAGAAUGAAUAUUAUGUAAUUACAUAAUUAAAUUGGUGAUCUGAUUAAGGGUAAUUCUAACUCAAGUAAAAUGCUUAAAUAUAAAUAUUAGAUAGAUAGGUCUAAUAUAAGACUUCAGUUAAUUAAAUUGCAUUAUAACAACAUAAGAUGCAUGUGAUGAUGAAAAGAAAUAUAUUUGUAAUGAUAUACAUACCUCUUCGACCACCACAACUGCCUCCCCAUUUCCCUUUCUUUCUUGGAUUCUAACAUCUUCUAAACCCAUUAUCAUUAGCAAAGCAGAACCAUCUGUGGUCAAUUUUUUCAACAUUGGCCACACAAUUGCAUGUUGCCCUUUAUAGAAACAUUUGAGCUCUUUUAGGGAUGUAACCUCAAGUGAAGACACUUCGGGAAACUCAAACCUCACAGGUUGAUCCUCUACUCCUUUCCCUUCCGAUACAAUCUCCUCCACCCCACAAUCACGUAUGCUUAAAUCUUCAAGUUGUAAAAGAUGUUUAGCUAUAGAUGCUGGAAAUAGAUUUUUCAAAAUCUCACACCCUGAAACACUUAAUUCUCGUAGAUGUUGAAAAGAAUUUGGUGGUAGGUCAGUAUGAAAUAUCAUCUUCACAUUACUCAACUUGGAGAUUGUCAUCGUUUCCAAGCUAGGAACAGCAACCUAUUCAUAUAUAUAAUUCAUGCCCAUAAGAAAGUUAGCUCAUAUAAUGCAGGGGCAAAAAUUAAAAAAUAAAAAAAGGACGAAUUAACUGAAUCAUAUAAGAGUGUAAGACUAAUGAAAUAAAUAAAUCACCUUCUCAUUGAAGAGAGUAUGCAUGCCGGACUCAAUACUGCUUUCACUAAUGAAUUCUUUUAAUUUCGGGCAACACCCAAUCGUUAGCUCUUUCAACGAAGGGAAUUCGAUAUUAUAAUUUCCUGAGCAGAAGGAGAUGAGGUUUGGAAGGAAAUCCAUACGCAGAAAGUUUAAUCGGCGGAAACAAAUCACAUUAUUCAUUUCUUCUUCUUCUUCUAUUUCCUCUGUAAAUAUUAUCUCCCUUAAGGACUCACAAUGCACUAUCUCAAAGCGGUGGAGCAGCACCAGACUCCUGGCGACAGAGGGUGAUAACAGAUGCUCCAACUUGCCGCAUCCACUGAUGAUCAACCUCCUCAAAUUCGAAUAUGUCUGCUUGUGCCAUAUUAUGUUGUUGUUAAUGGAAUGAUGGAAAACAAGUUGCAUACAUUUACAAACAAUUCUUUUCUUCUAAAAAUCUAAAUGGAAGGGAAACGAAAAGAUAAUACGUAACAUAAUUUGGAAAUAUGGUUUUCGAUUUUAAAGAAUUUUAGUUCGAACUGUGAAAUCCAAUUACAUUUUCAUAAUUUUUGUGUAUUGAAUUGAUUUUGGAUUUUCGAUCAGUUUGGAUUAAAAUUUAAAUUUUGGGUUUAAAAUUUAUUUUGUAACCUUAAAAACCAUUGGAUAAUUAAUUAUUUUAUUAUUAGAAAUUUAAGGUUAGUGGAUCAAAUAAUUAUUUAAUAAUUAUAACUUUUUGAUGAUGUCACUAAAUAGUUGCAGUAUAAAUAAAAGUUGUAAAAGAAUAUAUGAAUAAUGUCAAACAAAUACCUGAUUAAUUAAAAGUGGUUGGGGCUCAAAACUCGUGGAACACCUUUCCUCUUGACAGCAAAAGCUAAUAAGUUGCGGCAGCUGCUCAAGUGUUAUGGAACGUAAUUCAGAAAACUUAAUUUUGUUCAUUGUGAUAUAUUGCACCUGCAUACCAUUUCGGACAUGAAGAGACUGUAAAUGUGGAAAAUCGUUCCCUUUAUUUAACUCUGCAAGUACAUUCUUGAUGCCUUCAAGUCCUUUUAGGUCUAGGUACAAAUCUUCAGCCUUUCCCAGCAACAUUUUCACCCCAUUAUCCAAACAAAUGUUUGAAUAUAACUGGAGCGCCAAUCUCCUUGAACAUUCAUGUCUUGGAGGCCAGUUGGAUAUAAGAUGAUCACCUACAAAAAUCCUGUAUCUGUUCAAUGUCUCAAUGAAUCGAUGCUUUGGAAUCAUUUGGAUAUCAGGAAUACGAACAUAUAAAGUAGUUAGACGAGACAAAUUGUUUAAUUCAUCAAGGCUUGCAUUUCUCCUCUCGUUGUCAACAACUCCUUCAUUUUCCCAUUCAACAAAGCUUCCCUCCAUAUAUAAUUCUUCUAAUUUAGACAAACUUGAUAAGACAUUUGGCGGGAUGAUUUUGAGUGCUCCACACCAACUCAAAUCUAACAACCGUAACCGAGUCAAUUGUGCUAUCUUCUUGGGUAAUUCUUUGAUCCUUGACAAGGCAAGGUCAAGGAUUUCUAAAUUUUUAAGCUCUCCAAUGAUUGUUAUGUCUUCAACUCGCCAUCCUCUUAAACACAACAUGCGAAGAUUUAUGAGGUUAAUAAUUGACCCCGGUAGGUGAAUAAUUGACCCCGGUAGGAAGGUAAAUGAAAGUUCGUGAGGUAAAUCCAAGACUUCGAGACUUUUAAUUCGUCCGAAAAAAUCGGGAGGAAUUGCCACUGAAUCAUCAUGGGCCAUAUGGAAAAAGGAAAGACCUGAAUACUCCAUCUCCCUAGGAAGCUCGGCUACAAUUUGAGGACAAGGUAAGCUUAUCACUCUCAAGCUGUUCAUUUUCGCCUUAUCGGACCACUCCUUUGGAAUAUGAUCUCUCAAAACAAGCAUAUGGUAGUCCUUCGAUGCAAUAGCUAAAGCAGCAUCCCAAACAACAUCAUGGAUAUCAAAGUGCUCAUCAUCAUAACUAUCAAGCAACAGGGAAGACGCUUUGAGAUUAGCCACAACCGUCAAUACUUCAUUUCUAGCUUCUUCCAUAGUGUUGACACCACCAAAUAAACCCAAACCCACAGUAUAUCUCAUCAACUUCUCAACCAGACCAUUAUGGCCUAUUACACAGCAAAGCAAGAAAGUCAGCUUAACUUCCUCACUUUCUAAAUAAUUAAAACUCCACUCAAUAGCUGAAUAUGCUGCAGCUAUCCCCGUGAAGUUGCUUGAUGAAGGCCUCUCUAGUUCUCGUAAAGCAUUCUUCCACUCAAACAAUCUUUUGUUUCUCAAAGCCCCUGCAACUGUCGCAAUGGCUAUGGGCAAUCCUGCACAUUUUUUGGCUACUUCCAUAGCUAUAGGCUUCGAAUCGCAACUUUCAACACAACCGCCAGCCUUCUUCUUGAACAGGUCCCAGGCCUCCUUUUCAUUUAGAAACCCUAUUGCAAAACAUUUCUGAGCAUCCAUCCCAUUUGAUAAAACAUUUAGCUCUCUAGAAGUUAGCAGCAACUUGCAUCCCUUGUGCUCAUCUCCCAAAGGGAUCCCAACUUCCUCAAUAUCAACCUUUGCCCAAAUGUCAUCCAAGACAACCAGAACCCUCUUCUCUUUCUUCAAUCUUUCUCGUAGUCGAAGUGCCUUUACAUCAGUACUCGGCUCCUCAAAAUUCAAGCCCAAUAACUCUGCAAUUCUGUUCUGAAUUUUCUCAAUAUCAAUGGUUUGAGUUACUGUUGCUAUGACAACCGAAUCAAAUAAAUUGCCCUUGACCUUUCUAGCGAUUUCUUUGACUAGCAUUGUUUUUCCGAUCCCACCCAUACCGUGCACCCCAAUAACGCUGACGCUAUCAUCAUUUAGUGCCUCCAUUAUUCCAUUCAAAACCAACGUUCUUGACUCGAAAUCCUCGUACCCUUUAACUGGUGGGACAGCGAUACCUUGCAGAGGCAUAGGAUAAGAAACCUCGUCAAACUUGCCCUGUUCAAGUAGCUCGGCAACAGCCUUCGCCUCCGCUGCAGCUUUCAGGCUAUGCUUGUAACGAGUCCAAAAAUUAGGACACAAACCAAUGAAACACUUUUUCUUUGCUUUUUCUUCAUCUUGCAUCACUUUCUCUACUUGUUCAGUGAUCUUCCUGUCCACUGCAGACAACCAUUUGUCAACAUCGCCUUCGAUCUCUUUGCCGUUUCGUAAAGCUGCAUCAACAGAAUGCUGUACUCUGUCCCUUGCAUCUUUCAGCUUCUCAGCCUUGUCCUUGAGGGUCUCAACAUUUUGCUGAUGAUUGGAAAGGUAUUUGACAUGGUUUAUGAUAGGAGAAAUCGUAUACUCUGCAGCUUUAGUGAAAAUAGAGCUAACGAUGCCAAUAACGAACUCCAUUGAGAGAGCAAACAGCAAGUAAACUGAAAAACCACAGCCGCAACAGAAAUCAAAACAAAACCAGAAGAAAAAAGUACAAGUAAAAAUAAGUAAAAAGUAGAGCUUCUGUAAACAAACAAGUAAGACCAAAAUGAAAGCAGAUGGCGUACUUUUCCAAAAUGAAAAUAAUUUGCCUUAACGGAGUAAAGCGAGUAGUAAUUUGAGAAAAGGCAAGUCAAUGAAAAAGUAAGCAAGUUUCAAUUGUAUUGUAUGUUCAAAAAGCAUGCAUUACUUUCGCGGAUACAACGAAAAAGUGAAGAAGACAACAGACAUGAUGACCCAACACGCCCAUGCUUUUUCAUUUAUUGCAAUUUUUUUUUGUACACUAAUUGUGAAAAACUAUUUUCAUUUUUUUAAAAUUAUUCUCUCUUUAGUCAUGUGACAUUAAUUCAAUAUUAUUUUAUACUCAUUUUAGUCACCUAAUUUUAAUAAAUUUUUAUUUUGAUCACUCAUUUCAUGUUUUAAAUUAAUUUUAUUUUUUUCAAAAAAAUAUUUUUCUUUUUCUUUGCAACUCCAUUUUCUAUAAAAACCAAGAUAAUUCAUUGAAAAAACUCAAGUUUUUCUCUUGUUAAUGAAUAAAAACUAAAAUGAAAUUGCAAUAACAUUAAAUUAAAUUUAUUGGUGAGUGGCCAAAAUAAAAACAAUUUUAAUCCUAAACCCUAAAAUAAAAAUAAAUUUUAAUAAUAGUGCCUAAAAUGAAAAUUUUUAUUUUUUAGUACUAAAAAUAAAACUUUUUGACAAACUGUGACCAAUUAUAUAGUUUUCCCUAAAAUACUUUAGCUUGAUUAAAAUAGCCUUAUCUUUUUUUAACUUUAUUUUUUAUUUAUUAAUUUACAUUCUAUUUUUGUAAAGGUCACGAAAGAAAGGAGCAAGGUGUGACCAAUUAUUGAGUUGGGGGCUUAAUGGGAAUACUAGGCUAUUUUACUAAAAUAGUCUAAAAAAAUAUUAUAUUUAUAAAAAUAACUCAAGUUUAAAAAUAAUCAUGAAAAUAAUUAUGUUUACAGAAUAAUCACCUAUGAUUGUCUGAUAAUUGUGUCAGAUUUUAAAAAAAUAAUUUUUUGGGUUUUGGCCUGUUAAUGGGCGGAACUCGUGUAUUUUUUUAAAUUGUAUAAUAUUAAUAUAAGAAAAAAGAAAAAGAACAAAAAAUUGGGUGCUGGCCUGUCAAUGGCCUGCACCGAGUACAGCAGAGUAAAAAAAAAUUUUUUUGGGUGCUGGCCUGUCAAUGGCUGACACCCAGUACAGUAAAAAAAUUCGAAUUUUGGUCUAUCAAUGACCGGCACCAAAGUAUGAAAAAAAGUAAAAAAAUAUUUUUUUUGGGUGCUGGCCUGUCAAUGGCCGGCACCCAGUACAGUAAAAUUUUUUUUUAUUUUUUUUAAAAAUAUAUAUUUUUUAGUAUUGACUUAUUAAUGGCCUACACUCAGUACGGUAAAAAAAUUUACUUUUUUUCCUUUGUACUUAUUGUAUGUUCAAAAAACAUGUAUUACUUUCGCGGAUACAACUAAAAAGUGAAGAAGACAACAGAUAUAAUGACCCACCACGCCGAUGCUUUUUCAUUUAUUGCAAUUUUUAUUCGUACACUAAUUGUUGUUGAAGUUAGGUAGCAUUAAAUGUUGGGUAAAUUCCACAAUUGGUCAUUUAGGCAUUGCAGUCAAAAAUUAUUUUUAAAAUCUUUAGUCACGUGACAUUAAUUCAAUAUUAUUAUAGACUUAUUUUAAUCACCUAAUUUUAAUAAAUUUUUAUUUUAAUCACUCAUUUCAUGUUUUAAAUUAAUUUUAUUUUUUUUCAAAAAAAUACAUUCCUUUUUCUCUGCAACUCCAUUUCCUAUAAAAGCCCAAAUAAUUCAUCAAAAAAACCCAAGUUUUUCUCUUGUUAAUGAAUAAAAACUAAAAUGAAAGUGCAAUAACAUUAAAUUAAUGGUGAAUGGCCAAAAUAAAAACAAUUUUAACCAUAGUGCCUAAAAUGAAACUUUUUAUUUUUUAGUACCAAAAAUAAAACUUUUUGAAAAACGGUGACCAAUUAUAUAGUUUUCCCUAAAAUAUUUUAGCUUGAUUAAAGUAGACUUAUCUUUUUAUAACUUUAUUUUUUAUUUAUUAAUUUAUAUUCUCUUUUGGUAAAUGUGACAAAAGAAAGGAACAAGGUAUGACCAAUUAUUGAGUUGGGGGCUUAAUGGGAAUACUAUUUUGGUACUGUGUUUUGCAGGUAAAUUCGAAAAAAGAUAUUAUAAAAAUCUGUUGGAAAAAUAUCAACACAUAGAUCAAAAGCUAUCAACAUAUCUAUAUAACUAUUUAUAUAUAUGGCUAAAUUAGCCAAAAAAAGCAGAUUUAAAAAAAAAAUUGUUGUUUAGGCCCAUGUUUGACAUAUUUUUCGUAAUAGUUUAAUUUUUAAUAGAAAAACUAAAAAUGUGUAAGAAAGCACGAUACCCUUACCCUUACUUGACAUCGACAUUAAUUUAAACUUUAAAGUUUAAAAAAACUUAACAAAAAUCAAAAGUAUUGGUACACUUGACAUCGACAUCAAUUUGAAUUUUAAAGUUCAGAAAAAUUGAACAAAAAUUAAAAAUAUUAAUACACUUGAGAAAGUAUCGAUACUUUUCACCAUGUAUUGAUACCAUCAUCAAUCUUUCAAAAUUCUAUGUUUUUUUUUUGUUCAUUUUCAUAUGUAUUUUUCUUCUCAUAUUUUACCAUUUCUCAACCUGUUUGUUUACCUUACAAGUUUAUCAUAUCUAAAACAUGAUUUUAGCAAAGCUGCUAUUGUGGAACCAAAAAUAUUUUGUAUUUAUGAUUUAAAUGAAGGAAAUUUUUUUUUACUAUUUCUACAUUUCACAUUACUUUUUUGUGAAAAAAAUUAGAAAGUGGGAGACUUUCAAGUAAAUGUUGGGGAAAAGCAGGAUCAAUCAAUGAAGGAUAGUUUCAGCAAGGUCCCCAUAGUGGAGCCACCAUUGAUAAUUUCCUUUCAUUUUUGGAAAACAAUAGAAAAAUGUAAGUUUUGAUUUAAAAAAUGAAUGUAAUUUUUUUUUUGAGAUGAUAUUAAGAAAAUAUACAACUAGUUACACGAAAAAACUACUGAAAACCAAAACUAUUAGCUUUAUCCAUGUCUAAGAUUUCUUGAAUCUCUCUAGGAGAAGAAUCAAGUAUUUGCAACUCUUCCUUUCUUCUAAGAGCCAAUUUGGUUAUAGCGUCCACAACCUAAUUAUUCUCCCGAGAUAUAUGUUUUACAGGCCACUAGCCUUCGUGAGUCAAUAGGUAUUGGAUCCUCCUGAUUAGAGCAAAAUUCAAUAUGGUUGAUAUGCUAUCUUGAAUUGAUUUAAUAGCCUCCAAAUUAUUUGAUUGGACUAUCACCUUAUCAUGCCAAUCUGUUUCAUAGUAGGUUAAUACCAACCAAAAUGUUCCAUAAUUCAGUGUCAAAAGUUGAGUACUUCCCCAAAUGAUGAUUAUAUCCGAGAAUCCAAAACAAUGAAUAAAGCAAGAACUUUUAGGUUAGUUUUGAAAAAAGUCAAAACAAAAUAAUAACGUGGUAUGUUUGAAAUUAGUCCCUUUAUUUUUCUUUAUAAAUUUGAAAUUUUGUCAUGAUACUUUUAUUUUAAAGAAUUUAGUCUAUUUAUUUUUACAUUUCAAAAUUUAAGUCUAAACUAUUAGUAUUGUUAAAAUUAUUUUAUUAAAUUCAAGUUCAUUAUAAUAAUGUUAUUUCCUUAAUUACAUUGCUAUCAAGUAGGGGAGAAUCCAAAAGGGUAGGCAAAGGCCUUGAUCUCUUGGAUAAUAUUGGUAAAUCCUGGCUUCGCCUUUGGUAUCCAAUGAGUUUUUUUUUUUCUAAAGCAUGUAAUCAAUCAACAAUUUAUAGAGUUAAAUAAGUCGUUUUAAGAUUUGAUAAAAUUUUAUUUUUUAAAAAAACUAAAAAAUUUAUAGAGGACUAAAUAAGACUGCUUGGAAUAGGAAUUUGCGAAUUUUGUGUUCUUCAAUAUUUAAAUCGACUAAAAACAUAAAAGCUUAUGCCCUACCAGUUUUUGUACUUUUAGAGAGAGAAAAAAGAUUCAAAUAAAAAUAUUUAAUAGUAGAAUUUCUCAUUACUAAAAUUUUAAUAAAUUAAUACAACCAAUAAAAUUAAUUUAAUAAAAUAAAAAUCAAUUAUGGUUUGAAUAUUUAUUAUUUAAAACAAUAAGUGUUUCCUUAUCUAUUAAGUGUUUGGUGGAUGUUCAAUUCUUUUGUCAAUUUUUGCUCGCCGCUUUGGGCUAUCCGAGGCUAAUUUCCUUAUCUAAGUGUUUGCAACCAUUUCAGAUAUGUCGUGCUUGAGUUGUGACAAAGUUAAUUGUCAACGUGUCAUAAUGUUCUAAAGCCUUAGAAUUCAAUUAAACAUAAACAAGUCAUGCCCAAAUUUGGUGUUUGAUUUUUAUGAUUAAAUCCUAACAAAAUCAAUAUUAAAUCAAACGAAUCUAGAAUAGAUGGAUUUUUUUUUGUUGUUUUAAAAGAUCAUAAUACCUUAUAAAAAUUACACACCAUGAAAGUGGAAAGAAGAAUAGGAAGUAUGAUUUAAAAUUGAUAAACUAGCAUUGUUUAUGUAAUAGCCCGAUUUUCAGAAAUGUUGAAAAUAGUGGUACGAGAUCAUCAAAUUCAGAAAAUAAGCUCGUAAAUUUUAUUAUCAAUAAUUACGAGCCAAAUAUGAUUUUUAAGAGAUUUUUAAAUUAGUAAUUUGUAUUUUAUAAAAAAUUAUUAAGUCAAUAAAUUGAGGAAAAGAGUUAUCGAGACUUCGAUGUUAUAAACUGAGCCGUAAAUAUUUUUAUAAAUAUUUACGGAGUGUCAAUAUGGUAGUGUUAAAGUUCCGUCAGAAAAUUUUAAUGUUUUUGCAGUUAAUUAAUUAAAAAGAACUAAAUUGAAAAGAUGCAAAACUUGCUAAAGUGAUUAAAUAGCUUAACAAUUAAAUAAGGAAGGACUAAAAGAGAAAAUGGACCAAUUUAAGUGGCUGAGAUGGCAUACCGUUAAAAAAAUCUAACAUUUUUAUGUAUUAAGGACAAAUUUGGAAUUACAAUAAAGUUUAUGUGGCCAAAUUUUAUUUUAAGCAUUUCAAGACCAUUUCUUCUGGAAAUUUCGGUGGGAGACAGCCAUGGAAGAGGGUUUGGAGCUGGUAUUCCAUAUUUUGGCUUCAAGUAAGUUUAAUUCUUGCUUUGUCCUUGAAAUUUUUAUAUUUUUAGACUUUUACAAUUAGGUCCAACUUAGUAUUCUACUAGUUUCUCAUUUUGUUGAAAGUUUUGGAAGAUACUAAUGAUAAGUUCAUAUGAUUUUUGUUAUUUUGUGAUGAAAUUGAGAUGUUAAUGGAUGUUUAAAGGUGUUUUAUUAAAGAAUUUUAGAUGAAAACAAGUUUUAGGGAUUAAAUUGAAAAGUAUUGAAAUCAUGAAGAAAUUCUAAAAUUUCAUGGAAUCCAUGGGCUGUUAUUGAUAUGUAUGGGAAAUACUAGGCUUGAAUCAAGGAUUAUAUUGCAAGAAUUUCAUUUUCCAAGCCUAGGGACGAAAUUAUCAUAUAUUAAAAGUUUAGAGUCAAAUUGGUAAUCAAUAUAUUACACUAAACAGUUUUGGGCAGCAGCAGUGGCCUAAUUUUGAAAAAUCACCAAAAAUUGUGAGAAUUGAAAUAGAAGAUGAAUAAAAUAUAAAAUUAAAGCUUAUUGAGUCUAGUUUUUUUAUAGAAGAAAUGGUGUGAGCAAUGGAAUUGUAAAUUAUAAGAUAUAAUAAGUUUUGUGAGACAAUGUCAGAAUGAUUUGGGGUUUCCCUGUUCUGAUUUUGGAAAAUCAUCAAAAAUUUAAGAAAAAUAUUUAUGAGCUAUAAUUUAUAUGUUUAGAAUCCUUGGUGAGUCUAUUUUCAAAUGAAAUAAACGGAAACAUCAUCUGAAUUCUGUACAAUUAGAUAAUUCAUUUUUAGUAGAGAGUGGUCGGAACUGUCAGACAGCAAAACAAGAGAAACUUUAAAGAAUAAAUUGUAUUAAUUUGCUAAACCAAAAAUUCUGAAAAUUUUAUGGUAAGAAGAUAUGUGAGUCUAGUUUCAAGGAAAUUUUACGGAUCUUAAUUUGGAGCUCUUUAGCUCCAGAUAAAAAUAAUUGACUCUGACUCGGAUAAACAGCUUUGAAUAUAUAUGUGAGUGAAUAGUGAAAUUAUAGUUAAUGUUGUUUAAGCGUGUUAUAUACAUUAAGGAUGUGGAAUGGAGAGGAGGAGGAGAAAAAUUGGAAAAUAUAUGAUUGAUUUGUGUAUAAUUGGUCAUAGGCUUGAUUAUAAUUGAUAAAUGAUGAAAUCGAAAUGAUGCUUGUAUUUGUGCAUUAUUGGUCAUGGUAUAAGUUUAUGUGUGAAAAUAAAGUUUCAUAGUAUGUUUGUAUGGUAUAUUCCGUAUAUGAUUUGGCAUGAAUGGUUUAUGAAUUAACACAUGUUGGCUUUGGCCAAGUAGUGAUUAGAUUAUGCCACGUUAAAUUUAUAAGUUAUGCACCACGCCUAUGCUUUUUCAUUUGGCCAAGUAAAAAUGAACAAAAAGUAAAGCUUCUGUAAACAAACAAGACAGAACAAAUGAAAGCAGAUGGCGUACCUUUGCAAAAUAUAACAAGUGUAUUGUAUGUUCAAAAAACAUGUAUUACUUUCGCGGAUACAACUAAAAAGUGAGGCUAUUUUACUAAACUAGUCUGAAAAAAUAUUAUAUUUAUAAAAAUAAUCCAAGUUCAAAAAUAAUUAUUAAAAUAACCUAAAAUGAACAGCACCCACUCGUUUUUUGCACCAAUGAUUGCCUAAUAAUUGUUUCAGAAUUAAAAAAUUAAUUUUUUGGGUUUUGGCCUGUCAAUGGCCGAAACCCAUGUAUUUUUUUUAAAUUGUAUAAUACUGAUAUACGAAAAAGGAAAAAGAAAAAAAAUAAAAAAAUUAAAUUUUUGGGUGAAGGCCUGUCAAUGGCCGGCACCCAAUAGUAACAAAAAAAUUUUUGAAUUUUUUUCGUGUCAGAAUCAGAUAUCAGUAUACGAAAAAAGUUGAAAAAAAUUUUUUUGGGUGCUGGCUUGUCAAUGGCUAGCACCCAGUACAAAUUUUAAAAAACAAUUUUUUUUCUUUUUUUCGUGUAAAAAUCAGAUAUCAGAAUACAAAAAAAGUAAAAAAAAAUUUGGGUGCUGGCAUGUCACUGGCCGACACCCAGUACAAAUUUAAAAAAAUUUCUUUUUUGCGUGUAAAAAUCAUAUAUCAGUAUACGAAAAAAGUUAAAAGAAAUUUUUUGGGUGCUGGCCUGUCAAUGGCCGGCACCCAGUACAAAUUAAAAUUUUUUUCGUGUAAAAAUCAGAUAUCAGUAUAUUGAUAUCUGAUUCUGACAUAAAAACAAUUCAAAAUUUUUUUUGUUACUAUUGGGUGCCGACCAUUGACAGGCCAACAGCCAAAAAAUUAAUUUUUUUCUUUUUUUCUUUUCUUUUUUCGUAUAUCAAUAUUAUACAAAUUAAAAAAAAAUACAUGGGUUUCGGCCAUUGACAGGCUAAAAUUCAAAAAAUUAAUUUUUUUAAUUCUGACACAAUUAUUAGGCAAUCAUUGGUGCAAAAAACGAGUGGGUACUGUUCAUUUUAAGUUAUUUUGGCGAUUAUUUUUGAACUUGGGUUAUUUUUAUAAAUAUAAUAUUUUUUUAGACUGAUUUGGUAAAAUAGCCAAAAAGUGAAGAAGACAACAGACAUGAUGACCCACCACGCCUGUGCUUUUUCAAUUAUUGCAAUUUUUAUUCGUACAAUAAUUGUUGAAGUUAGGUAGCAUUAAAUGUUGGGUAAAUUCCACAAUUGGUCAUUUAGGCAUUGCAGUCAAAAACUAUUUUCAUUUUUUUAAAAUUAUUCCCUCUUUAUAGUUAAUGUUGUUUAAGCGUGUUAUAUACAUUAAGGAUGUGGAAUGGAGAGGAGGAGGAGAAAAAUUGGAAAAUAUAUGAUUGAUUUGUGUAUAAUUGGUCAUAGGCUUGAUUAUAAUUGAUAAAUGAUGAAAUCGAAAUGAUGCUUGUAUUUGUGCAUUAUUGGUCAUGGUAUAAGUUUAUGUGUGAAAAUAAAGUUUCAUAGUAUGUUUGUAUGGUAUAUUCCGUAUAUGAUUUGGCAUGAAUGGUUUAUGAAUUAACACAUGUUGGCUUUGGCCAAGUAGUGAUUAGAUUAUGCCACGUUAAAUUUAUAAGUUAUGCACCACGCCUAUGCUUUUUCAUUUGGCCAAGUAAAAAUGAACAGAAAGUAAAGCUUCUGUAAACAAACAAGACAGAACAAAUGAAAGCAGAUGGCGUACCUUUGCAAAAUAUAACAAGUGUAUUGUAUGUUCAAAAAACAUGUAUUACUUUCGCGGAUACAACUAAAAAGUGAGGCUAUUUUACUAAACUAGUCUGAAAAAAUAUUAUAUUUAUAAAAAUAAUCUAAGUUCAAAAAUAAUUAUUAAAAUAACCUAAAAUGAACAGUACCCACUCGUUUUUUGCACCAAUGAUUGCCUAAUAAUUGUUUCAGAAUUAAAAAAUUAAUUUUUUGGGUUUUGGCCUGUCAAUGGCCGAAACCCAUGUAUUUUUUUUAAAUUGUAUAAUACUGAUAUACGAAAAAGGAAAAAGAAAAAAAAUAAAAAAAUUAAAUUUUUGGGUGCAGGCCUGUCAAUGGCCGGCACCCAAUAGUAACAAAAAAAAUUUUGAAUUUUUUUCGUGUCAGAAUCAGAUAUCAGUAUACGAAAAAAGUUGAAAAAAAUUUUUUUGGGUGCUGGCUUGUCAAUGGCUAGCACCCAGUACAAAUUUUAAAAAACAAUUUUUUUUCUUUUUUUCGUGUAAAAAUCAGAUAUCAGAAUACAAAAAAAGUAAAAAAAAAUUUGGGUGCUGGCAUGUCACUGGCCGACACCCAGUACAAAUUUAAAAAAAUUUCUUUUUUGCGUGUAAAAAUCAUAUAUCAGUAUACGAAAAAAGUUAAAAGAAAUUUUUUGGGUGCUGGCCUGUCAAUGGCCGGCACCCAGUACAAAUUAAAAUUUUUUUCGUGUAAAAAUCAGAUAUCAGUAUAUUGAUAUCUGAUUCUGACAUGAAAACAAUUCAAAAUUUUUUUUGUUACUAUUGGGUGCCGACCAUUGACAGGCCAACAGCCAAAAAAUUAUUUUUUUUCUUUUUUUCUUUUUCUUUUUUCGUAUAUCAAUAUUAUACAAAUUAAAAAAAAAUACAUGGGUUUCGGCCAUUGACAGGCUAAAAUUCAAAAAAUUAAUUUUUUUAAUUCUGACACAAUUAUUAGGCAAUCAUUGGUGCAAAAAACGAGUGGGUACUGUUCAUUUUAAGUUAUUUUGGCGAUUAUUUUUGAACUUGGGUUAUUUUUAUAAAUAUAAUAUUUUUUUAGACUGAUUUGGUAAAAUAGCCAAAAAGUGAAGAAGACAACAGACAUGAUGACCCACCACGCCUGUGCUUUUUCAAUUAUUGCAAUUUUUAUUCGUACAAUAAUUGUUGAAGUUAGGUAGCAUUAAAUGUUGGGUAAAUUCCACAAUUGGUCAUUUAGGCAUUGCAGUCAAAAACUAUUUUCAUUUUUUUAAAAUUAUUCCCUCUUUAUAGUUAAUGUUGUUUAAGCGUGUUAUAUACAUUAAGGAUGUGGAAUGGAGAGGAGGAGGAGAAAAAUUGGAAAAUAUAUGAUUGAUUUGUGUAUAAUUGGUCAUAGGCUUGAUUAUAAUUGAUAAAUGAUGAAAUCGAAAUGAUGCUUGUAUUUGUGCAUUAUUGGUCAUGGUAUAAGUUUAUGUGUGAAAAUAAAGUUUCAUAGUAUGUUUGUAUGGUAUAUUCCGUAUAUGAUUUGGCAUGAAUGGUUUAUGAAUUAACACAUGUUGGCUUUGGCCAAGUAGUGAUUAGAUUAUGCCACGUUAAAUUUAUAAGUUAUGCACCACGCCUAUGCUUUUUCAUUUGGCCAAGUAAAAAUGAACAGAAAGUAAAGCUUCUGUAAACAAACAAGACAGAACAAAUGAAAGCAGAUGGCGUACCUUUGCAAAAUAUAACAAGUGUAUUGUAUGUUCAAAAAACAUGUAUUACUUUCGUGGAUACAACUAAAAAGUGAGGCUAUUUUACUAAACUAGUCUGAAAAAAUAUUAUAUUUAUAAAAAUAAUCUAAGUUCAAAAAUAAUUAUUAAAAUAACCUAAAAUGAACAGCACCCACUCGUUUUUUGCACCAAUGAUUGCCUAAUAAUUGUUUCAGAAUUAAAAAAUUAAUUUUUUGGGUUUUGGCCUGUCAAUGGCCGAAACCCAUGUAUUUUUUUUAAAUUGUAUAAUACUGAUAUACGAAAAAGGAAAAAGAAAAAAAAUAAAAAAAUUAAAUUUUUGGGUGCAGGCCUGUCAAUGGCCGGCACCCAAUAGUAACAAAAAAAAUUUUGAAUUUUUUUCGUGUCAGAAUCAGAUAUCAGUAUACGAAAAAAGUUGAAAAAAAAUUUUUUGGGUGCUGGCUUGUCAAUGGCUAGCACCCAGUACAAAUUUUAAAAAACAAUUUUUUUUCUUUUUUUCGUGUAAAAAUCAGAUAUCAGAAUACAAAAAAAGUAAAAAAAAAUUUGGGUGCUGGCAUGUCACUGGCCGACACCCAGUACAAAUUUAAAAAAAUUUCUUUUUUGCGUGUAAAAAUCAUAUAUCAGUAUACGAAAAAAGUUAAAAGAAAUUUUUUGGGUGCUGGCCUGUCAAUGGCCGGCACCCAGUACAAAUUAAAAUUUUUUUCGUGUAAAAAUCAGAUAUCAGUAUAUUGAUAUCUGAUUCUGACAUGAAAACAAUUCAAAAUUUUUUUUGUUACUAUUGGGUGCCGACCAUUGACAGGCCAACAGCCAAAAAAUUAAUUUUUUUCUUUUUUUCUUUUUCUUUUUUCGUAUAUCAAUAUUAUACAAAUUAAAAAAAAAUACAUGGGUUUCGGCCAUUGACAGGCUAAAAUUCAAAAAAUUAAUUUUUUUAAUUCUGACACAAUUAUUAGGCAAUCAUUGGUGCAAAAAACGAGUGGGUACUGUUCAUUUUAAGUUAUUUUGACGAUUAUUUUUGAACUUGGGUUAUUUUUGUAAAUAUAAUAUUUUUUUAGACUAAUUUGGUAAAAUAGCCAAAAAGUGAAGAAGACAACAGACAUGAUGACCCACCACGCCUGUGCUUUUUCAAUUAUUGCAAUUUUUAUUCGUACAAUAAUUGUUGAAGUUAGGUAGCAUUAAAUGUUGGGUAAAUUCCACAAUUGGUCAUUUAGGCAUUGCAGUCAAAAACUAUUUUCAUUUUUUUAAAAUUAUUCCCUCUUUAGUCACGUGACAUUAAUUCAAUAUUAUUAUAUACUCAUUUUAAUCACUCAAUUUUAAUAAAUUUUUAUUUUAAUCACUUAUUUUAUAUUUUAAAUUAAUUUUAUUUUUUUCAAAAAAAAACCUUCAUUUUUGUCUGCAACUCCAUUUUCUAUAAAAACUCAAAUAAUUCAUCGAAAAAAACUCAAGUUUUUCUCUUGUUAAUAGUGAGUGACCAAAAUAAAAAUAAUUUUAACCGUAGUGCAUAAAAUGAAAAUAAUUUUUAAUAAUAGUUCAUAAAAUGAAAUUUUUUUAUUUUUUAGUACCAAAAUAAAACUUUUUGAAAAACGGUGACCAAUUAUACAAUUUCCCCUAAAAUAUUUUAGCUUGAUUAAAGUAGCAUUAUCUUUUUAUAACUUUAUUUUUUAUUUAUUAAUUUAUAUUCUCUUUUGGUAAAGGUGACAAAAGAAAGGAACAAGGUAUGACCAAUUAUUGAGUUGGGGGCUUAAUGGGAAUACUAUUUUGGUACUGUAUUUUGGAGGUAAAUUCGAAAAAAGAUCUUAUUAAAAUCUGUUGGAAAAAUAUUAACACAUACAUCAAAAGCUAUCAACAUAUCUAUAUAACUAUUUAUAGCCAAAAAAAACAAAGCAGAUUUUUUAAAAAAAAUGGUUGUUUAGGCCCAUUUUUGACAUAUUUAUGGUAAUAGUUUAAUUUUUAAUAGAAAAAGUAAAAAUGUGUAAGAAAGCACGAUACAUUUACCCUUACUUGACAUCGACAUCAAUUUGAACUUUAAAGUUCAAAAAACCUUAACAAAAAUUAAAAGUAUUGAUACACUUAAGAAAAUAUCGAUACCUUUCACCAUGUAUUGAUACCAUCAUCAACUUUUCAAUAUUCUAUCUAUGUUUUUCUUUUGUUCAUUUUCAUAUGUAUUUGUCUUCGCAUAUUUUACCAUUUCUCAACUUGUUUGUUUACCCUACAAGUUUAUAUAUUUAAAACAUGAAUUUAGCAAAGCUGCUAUUGUGGAACCAAAAAAUAUUUUGUAUUGAUGAUGAGAUUUAUGGAACUUACAAAUUGGCUAUCAGGCCUUGAAAGAAUGGGUGGUAGUGGUGGUGGCAGCUGCUUCCUUGUGAGGCUGCUAUAGUGGCACUUUCCUUAAACUAAUAUUGUAAAGGUACUCCCAUUUUUAAUGGUAUCUCGCUCUCUCUAUUCUAAUAAUGUUUUCUUUUCUCUCCAUUAAAUUAUAGAAAAAAGAUUUUGGUAUCGGAGGAUUCACCAUGUAUCCAUCUUCUAAAGUUAGGAGAAGACUACCAUUAGAAAGUAGCAUUACACAAAGCAUCUCUCUUUCCCCACAUUGUCGAUAAAUCUCUGUAAUCCAAUUAACAGAUUUAUAAAUUCCAUUGUAACUCUAAACAUAAGAAACAAUACCUGCAAGGGUACGGAUAUUAAAAAUGCAUCAUCCUAGACACAAUGUCAUUUUCUCUCUUCAAAAUCGGCCUAUUCCAAUAAAUAUAUAAAAAAUAAGCCUAAACAACCAAAUUUUUUCUUAAAUCGGCCUUCCUGACUAAUUUAGAUUUUAUAUAAGAACGAUGAUUUAUGCUUCACAUAAAUUAGAUCAAUAAUCGAAGUAAGUAUAUAAGUGGGUGUGAACUUAUUAAAAAUAUCAAGAAAGUAACAUAUAUAUAAUUAAAUAUAUAAUUAGUUAACUAAUGAGGUGUCACAAAUACUAGAGUGCUACGUUCAAAAUUGAAAAAAAUUAUUAAAUUUUAAAAUUAUGUGAAAAAAAAUUACAGAUCAAAUUAAAAGAAAAUGUCAUGUUCGGAACUAAAUGUUGACUAACCUUCAUUUAUUAACCCAAAUGUUAAUAGGAUUAAAUAUCUUAAAGUAAUUUUAAUCUCUAAAAUUUAACACGAUUGAAAGUUUUUAAUUUUUUUUAGGCAUAAUAAUAAAUUUAGCUUCUAAUAUUUAUUGUUUUUUACUUUAAUCUUAAUUUUUUAUUGCUUUAACUCUCAACCUUACAAAUAUAAUCAAAUUGUUUUUCACUUUAGUCUUAAUUUUGUUCUCCUCUCUAAUGGGGUUUUCAAGGACAAGAAGAUCAUACUCUCUUAUUGCUCUUAGCUUUCUCACCAUUUCAUUUCUACGUUUAUGAUAAUACUCUAAAAUGACAUAUUUUUAUGUAUUAAUUACAUAUUUAUUUUGAGUACGAUCUUAUUAAUUUGUACUUUUUAUGAUUUUUUAUUUUGUAGGGAUUAAAUUGCAGGCAAAAGGAAUUUCCCCUUCUCACUACAAGUGAGCUUUUUCCCUGUUGCGAUCUCUUUGUUCUGUAUCGGCCUUCCGAGUAACAUGAUUACUAGUCUCUUGUUUAUGUAUGUAUCAGUGGCAUAGAUUGGAAUGAGCCAGGAGUAAGGAAUUGUUCAAGGCAGACGACACCAUUCAAGGGAUCGAUUUAUCCAACUGGUUUGCCUCUGGCAGAGUACGUAGUUAAAGAGGUCAUAAGGAACAUCAAGAAACCUGUUCAUUUGCUUGAUAUUACAAUGCUCUCUCAAUUAAGAAAAGAUGCACAUCCUAGCACUUACAAUGACUUCAACGGCAUGGAUUGCACCCACUGGUGCGUUGCCGGCCUCCCCGAUACAUGGAAUCUACUUCUGUAUGCAGCUCUCAUCAAAUAGUAGAGAAAUUUGGUUCAGGCACUAGCCACCCAACAUAUAUGUGGUCUCCUUAAAUUAUUUAUUUUGCUUACUCAAAAAAGAUCAUAAGAUUAUACAUUGAAAAUAUAAUAAAUUUGUUUACUUCUGUUUGCAGUUCUCAAUUAUGCAUGUGAUGUAAUUCAAUUAUUUAUGGCAUUGGUUUGUUUUCUUCUUGCUUUAGAUUGUUUCUCCUAUUGCCUAAAAAAAGAGAAUUGGUGAUAUUAUGAUUGUGAGGAUGAAUAUGAGAAUCCUGGGAUUGAAGAGAUAUUAGCUUCAACUUUUCAUCAAAAUACUGAAAUAAGUACAUAAUAUUCUUUAUAGAGAGAACAAAAAAAGAAGAAACAAGCACACGCAAAAUGAGUAGCAAUCUUAAUUAAAUCAUCUAAUCCCCCAAGCUGAUACAAAAAUACCAGCAAAAAGUAUAAUGUGGCUGAAAUACAUCCAUAAAACUGGGGUCAACCUUACUACUAAAAGUUUUCAUGUUUGUAAUUCCCAGUGCCAAGCAUGAUGCACUUCAAAAUCAAUACUUUGGUAAUAAUGUGAAAUGCAACAGUUCAAUAGUGGAUUUGCAAAAACAGAAUAAAGGAAAGUGGACGCCCCCAUACUCCAACAGAGCAACUCAACCUACAAUGAAAAAGGCAUUUCCAUGGUCACUUUGUAAAGCAUUAGUUAAGCCAUGAUGAAAAUAGAAGAGUAAAUUACCAUUUGGUUUGAAUUGAAAUGAAACUGAGCUUGUCUCACACGCACCCCAACAUAUUUCCUUAUUUCAUUUGGAGCAACUGAUCAGUAACCUCGACCGCUUGAGAAUUUUGAACAUUCUGUACGUGCGUGAUCAAAAGAAACAAUUAUAAAGAAAGGUAAAACCAACGUUUUCAAAAGUAAAACACUUUAAAAUGAUUGGUACCAUUUGAUCGAACAUAUGCUUUAUGGUGGUGUUAAGGUCGCCUUCCCACUGCAGUUCACCAUCCUCAUCUCUUGUUAAGUGCAUUUGUUCCAGCCUUGGUGUGCUUAACUCCCCUUGAGAGAAAUUCUUCAUUUUGGGGCAGUCUGUCACUAUCACCAUUUGCAAGACUGGGAACUCCAACGAGUGAUGCGCCAAUGAAAAGCUUGCUAUACUUGGCAGAUGACUUAGUUGCAAAUACUUCAGCUUGGGAAAAACAAUGCUGGCCUGUAAGUCUUCACCUUCACAUGAUAUGAUUUCUUCUAUCAACUCAGAAUCAGCUAUGCUCAAUCUUUCUAGUAGUGUCAGGCUCUUAGCUGUCGAGCAUGCCAUUAGAUUGAUGAAUCCAUGGCAUCUUGAAACUUCCAUACUUAAUAGAUUUUUGACAGACAACAAAAAUGGCUCUAAAGUCUUUAAUGUUAGCUCUGGAAGUUGAGACAACCUUAAGGCCUCUAACUGAUAGCAUGCCCAUGUGUGCCUUUCCUCGUUGAUGAGUCCUUCAAACCGGACUAUUUCAGAAAUGGAGGCAUUGUUUAUAACAAGCUUCUCAAGCUUUGGUAGUGACUGAAUGAAGGAAUAUGGAAGAGUAGUAGAUGUCUCAGGAAAGAAUUG